GGCCCCGCCUCGCCCCGGAGCGGCCGUGGCCGGCACGCGCGGAGCGGCUCCUGGCUGUCACCGGCACGACCGGGGCUUGGAGCACGAGCGGCACUUAGAACAAAGGCAGGGAAAUGAGGUUCGUUCAGUGUCACCCAGGAAUGCAUCAGCUGGUACAAUGUGUUACAGAGUCCAGUAACUCCAGAUCUGCCCAACGAGAUGGAACAUGAACAUCAAGAACAUAAGCCCAUCAGUGUGACAAACGGCACCCUUUUCUCUUAAGAAAGUAGGGUGAAGUUUAGCAACAUUAUCUGUCCCAUUUUCUUGUUGUAGCUAGUGGAGUGUGAGCUCCUGGAGUUGUUUAUGCCAACUACUCCAGAGAUCCCGAAGCACUCAGGACCUACAGAUUAACAUCUUCAAAUGCUGUGCAAACUAACCAGCUGCACCUCUGCUCUGGCAGCCUUGCAAAUUCUCUAACUUGCUGUAGCUGGUCCUAGGGACCAAUUGCUCACACUUAUCGUGGCCAGUGUGGAAGGGAUUUUAAAGGUGGUGCAGUAAAAGAUACAGUGAUGCAGAAUUGUGCUGGGCCCAAAAAUGUACUGGGCGGUGAAUGCAGCGUGUGAGUGGAGGGUUACCUUCAGUUUAACGUUUUUUCCUGGUUUAAGAUAUUGAUGGCACUAUCAGCAUUUAAAUAAAACAUUUAGGAAAAAAAAAUCUGACUGAGGACAGAGCUGGGAUUGGGUACAUAAGAGCAACUGAACAAGUCAAGAAAAAAAACGUGAUAAUCCGAUUGUGAAAUCGCAAGCUAUGCAUGUAGGAAAUUCAGAGCUGAGGAUGUUUUAAAAGUCCAAACAUGCUAAGGUAAAAAAUGUAGUUGCAGCAGCUGAACAGCCUUAACUCUUGCCCAAUAAAUAAAUAAACAAAUACACAAACAAACUCCACUUAUUAUUUCAAGAAUACACUAUUUUCACCUUUUAGAUCCCAGAUAGGUUAAAUUUCCUCAUAAAGACAGCCUGUUUCCUUGUUCCUCUCUUGAGGGCUGUUGAAUUGUAGAAUCAUAGAACCAUUAUGGUUGGAAAAGACCUCCAAGAUCAUCCGGUCCAACCAUCACCCUACCAUCAAUAGGUGUUCUUGAAGUGCAAGAGCUGUCUGUUUGGAUAUCUAAACACAGGAAUUAUUUUAAGUAUAGCAUUUUCUCUGCAUUUCCUCGGUUUAUAACACUGAAUUCUGAGGUAAUUACAACAUUUCUGUGACGUUCUUUGCUCUUACAGUUGACAGGCGUCCUAAUAACAGAUACUUAAC